AUGGCCCUCUGGCUGAACCUCAUGUCCUUGUUAGUUGUCCUCAGAGGUGUCCAAUCUCAGGUUCGGUUGGUGGAGUCUGGAGGGGAUGUGAGAAGACCUGGGGAGUCCCUCCGACUCUCCUGCCAAGCCUCUGGAUUCACCUUCAGCAGCUAUGCGAUGUCUUGGGUGAGACAGGCUCCAGGGAAAGGACUGGAAUGGGUGGCACAUAUCUAUGGUGAUUCCAGUAAAACAUUCUACUCAGACAAAGUCAAGGGACAUUUCACUAUCUCCAGGGACAAUGCCAAAAGCCAGCUGUAUCUGCAAAUGAACAGGCUCAAAGCUGAAGACACGGCUGUCUAUUACUGUGCUAGACACACAGUGAGAGGAAGCAGGACAAAAACUGUCAAUUUCACAAAGCAGCUCUUGUAG